UACGUAGGGUCCGAGCGUUGUCCGGAAUUACUGGGCGUAAAGAGCUCGUAGGUGGUUUGUCGCGUUGUUCGUGAAAAACUCACAGCUCAACUGUGGGCGUGCGGGCGAUACGGGCAGACUAGAGUACUGCAGGGGAGACUGGAAUUCCUGGUGUAGCGGUGGAAUGCGCAGAUAUCAGGAGGAACACCGGUGGCGAAGGCGGGUCUCUGGGCCGAUACUGACGCUGAGGAGCGAAAGCGUGGGGGAGCGAAACAGG
rnacentral:rRNA from 1 species